rnacentral:rRNA from 1 species
CAGUCGAACGAUGAUCCCAGCUUGCUGGGGGAUUAGUGGCGAACGGGUGAGUAACACGUGAGUAACCUGCCCUUGACUCUGGGAUAAGCCUGGGAAACUGGGUCUAAUACCGGAUACGACCAUCUGGCGCAUGUCAUGGUGGUGGAAAGCUUUAUUGUGGUUUUGGAUGGACUCGCGGCCUAUCAGCUUGUUGGUGGGGUAAUGGCCUACCAAGGCGACGACGGGUAGCCGGCCUGAGAGGGUGACCGGCCACACUGGGACUGAGACACGGCCCAGACUCCUACGGGAGGCAGCAGUGGGGAAUAUUGCACAAUGGGCGCAAGCCUGAUGCAGCGACGCCGCGUGAGGGAUGACGGCCUUCGGGUUGUAAACCUCUUUCAGUAGGGAAGAAGCGAAAGUGACGGUACCUGCAGAAGAAGCGCCGGCUAACUACGUGCCAGCAGCCGCGGUAAUACGUAGGGCGCAAGCGUUAUCCGGAAUUAUUGGGCGUAAAGAGCUCGUAGGCGGUUUGUCGCGUCUGCUGUGAAAGACCGGGGCUCAACUCCGGUUCUGCAGUGGGUACGGGCAGACUAGAGUGCAGUAGGGGAGACUGGAAUUCCUGGUGUAGCGGUGAAAUGCGCAGAUAUCAGGAGGAACACCGAUGGCGAAGGCAGGUCUCUGGGCUGUAACUGACGCUGAGGAGCGAAAGCAUGGGGAGCGAACAGGAUUAGAUACCCUGGUAGUCCAUGC